GGAUGAACGCUGGCGGCAUGCCUAACACAUGCAAGUCGAUCGGUAAGGCUCUUCGGAGUACACGAGAGGCGGACGGCUGAGUAACGCGUAGGAACACACCCUGCAGUGAGGGAUAAGACACCGAAAGGUGUUCUAAUACCGCAUACGGUCUUCGGAUUAAAGCAUUUAUGCGCUGAAGGAGUGGCCUGCGUCAUAUUAGAUAGUUGGUGAGGUAAUGGCUCACCAAGUCGAUGAUGUGUAGCUGGUCUGAGAGGAUGAUCAGCCAGACUGGAACUGAGACACGGUCCAGACUCCUACGGGAGGCAGCAGUGAGGAAUAUUUCACAAUGAGCGAAAGCUUGAUGGAGCAAUGCCGCGUGCAGGAUGAAGGCCCUCGGGUUGUAAACUGCUUUUAUAAGAGAAGAUUAUGACGGUAACUUAUGAAUAAGGGACGGCUAACUACGUG
rnacentral:rRNA from 1 species